rnacentral:rRNA from 1 species
UCCUUUAGAGUUUGGAUCCUGGCUCAGGAUGAACGCUAGCGGCAGGCUUAACACAUGCAAGUCGAGGGGUAACAGGGAGUGCUUGCACUUUGCUGACGACCGGCGCACGGGUGCGUAACGCGUAUAGAACCUACCUUAUAUUGGGGGAUAGCCCAGAGAAAUUUGGAUUAAUACCCCAUAGUAUUGGGAUGUGGCAUCACAACCUAAUUAAAGAUUUAUCGAUAUAAGAUGGCUAUGCGUUCUAUUAGCUAGUUGGUAUGGUAACGGCAUACCAAGGCUACGAUAGAUAGGGGUCCUGAGAGGGAGAUCCCCCACACUGGUACUGAGACACGGACCAGACUCCUACGGGAGGCAGCAGUGAGGAAUAUUGGACAAUGGAGGCAACUCUGAUCCAGCCAUGCCGCGUG